UACGUAGGGUGCAAGCGUUAAUCGGAAUUACUGGGCGUGAAGCGUGCGCAGGCGGUGAUGUAAGACAGUUGUGAAAUCCCCGGGCUCAACCUGGGAACUGCAUCUGUGACUGCAUAGCUAGAGUACGGUAGAGGGGGAUGGAAUUCCGCGUGUAGCAGUGAAAUGCGUAGAUAUGCGGAGGAACACCGAUGGCGAAGGCAAUCCCCUGGACCUGUACUGACGCUCAUGCACGAAAGCGUGGGGAGCAAACAGG
rnacentral:rRNA from 1 species